CUUGCUUCUAUCUCUAAGGAAGUAGAAUAUCAAAAAAAAUCAAUAAAAGAGAAGAUAAAGCUUUCAAAAUCAACAAAAAGAUGUUGCUGCCUUAAAAAUCCAAAAUACCUUGUUUGUGAGUGAAUUAGUGAUUUUACUCUUUAAUCACUUUUAAAUUCACUCAUCCGACUUUUUACAAGUCUUAUACUCUAUGUAAAUCUCUUAUAUAAUUUUUG
rnacentral:lncRNA from 1 species